AUACGUAGGGGGCAAGCGUUAUCCGGAUUUACUGGGUCGUAAAGGGUGCGUAGGUGGUUUCUUAAGUCAGAGGUGAAAGGCUACGGCUCAACCGUAGUAAGCCUUUGAAACUGGGAAACUUGAGUGCAGGAGAGGAGAGUGGAAUUCCUAGUGUAGCGGUGAAAUGCGUAGAUAUUAGGAGGAACACCAGUUGCGAAGGCGGCUCUCUGGACUGUAACUGACACUGAGGCACGAAAGCGUGGGGAGC
rnacentral:rRNA from 1 species